rnacentral:tRNA from 1 species
GUCUGGUUGGCUCAGUCGGUUGAGCAUCUGACUCUUGAUCUUAGGGACGUGAGUUCAAGCCCUGCACUGAACU